AUUGAACGCUGGCGGAAUGCUUUACACAUGCAGGUCGAGCGGCAGCACGGGGGCAACCCUGGUGGCGAGCGGCGAACGGGUGAGUAAUACAUCGGAACAUGCCCAGUCGUGGGGGAUAACACUUCGAAAGAAGUGCUAAUACCGCAUACGUCCUGAGGGAGAAAGCGGGGGAUCUUCGGACCUCGCGCGAUUGGAGUGGCCGAUGUCAGAUUAGCUAGCUGGUGGGGUAAAGGCCUACCAGGGCAACGAUCUGUAGCUGGUCUGAGAGGAUGAUCAGCCACACUGGGACUGAGACACGGCCCAGACUCCUACGGGAGGCAGCAGUGGGGAAUCUUGCACAAUGGGCGAAAGCCUGAUGCAGCAACGCCGCGUGGGUGAAGAAGGUCUUUGGAUUGUAAAGCCCUUUCGGUUAGGAAGAAGGGACAUUGCAUUAAUACUGCAGUGUUCUGACGGUACUAGAAGAAGAAGCACCGGCUAACUCCGUGCCAGCAGCCGCGGUAAAAC
rnacentral:rRNA from 1 species